rnacentral:rRNA from 1 species
UUGCACGCUGGCGGCAGGCCUAACACAUGCAAGUCGAACGGUAACAGGAAGAAGCUUGCUUCUUUGCUGACGAGUGGCGGACGGGUGAGUAAUGUCUGGGAAACUGCCUGAUGGAGGGGGAUAACUACUGGAAACGGUAGCUAAUACCGCAUAACGUCGCAAGACCAAAGAGGGGGACCUUCGGGGCUCUUGCCAUCGGAUGUGCCCAGAUGGGAUUAGCUAGUAGGUGGGGUAACGGCUCACCUAGGCGACGAUCCCUAGCUGGUCUGAGAGGAUGACCAGCCACACUGGAACUGAGACACGGUCCAGACUCCUACGGGAGGCAGCAGUGGGGAAUAUUGCACAAUGGACGCAAGCCUGAUGCAGCCAUGCCGCGUGUAUGAAGAAGGCCUUCGGGUUGUAAAGUACUUUCAGCGGGGAGGAAGGGAGUAAAGUUAAUACCUUUGCUCAUUGACGUUACCCGCAGAAGAAGCACCGGCUAACUCCGUG